rnacentral:rRNA from 1 species
AUGCACGCUGGCGGUCUGCUUCACCCCUGCAAGUCGCACGGUCACUUCGGUGAUAGUGGCGGACGGGUGAGUAACGCGUGAGAAUCUGUCUUCAGGUCGGGGACAACAGUUAGAAAUGACUGCUAAUACCGGAUGUGCCUUUGGGUGAAAGAUUUAUUGCCUGAAAAAGAGCUCGCGUCAGAUUAGCUAGUAGGUGGUGUAAGAGACUACCUAGGCUCCGAUCUGUAGCUGGUCUGAGAGGACGAUCAGCCACACUGGAACUGAGACACGGUCCAGACUCCUACGGGAGGCAGCAGUGGGGAAUUUUCCGCAAUGGGCGAAAGCCUGACGGAGCAAUACCGCGUGAGGGACGAAGGCUUUUGGGUCGUAAACCUCUUUUCUCAAGGAAGAUGAUGACGGUACUUGAGGAAUAAGCAUCGGCUAACUCUGUG